UAGAGUAUGGGAGGGGGAGAUGGAAUUAGUGGUGUAGGGGUAAAAUCCGUAGAUAUCACUAGGAAUACCGAAAGCGAAGGCGAUCUCCUGGAACAAUACUGACGCUAAGGCGUGAAAGCGUGGGGAGCAAACGGGAUUAGAUACCCCGGUAGUCCACGCCCUAAACGAUGAACACUAGUCGUCGGGAUGCUAGUCAUCUCGGUGAUGCACUUAACAGAUUAAGUGUUCCGCCUGGGGAGUACGGUCGCAAGAUUAAAACUCAAAGGAAUAGACGGGGACCCGCACAAGUGGUGGAGCAUGUGGUUUAAUUCGAAGAUACGCGAAGAACCUUACCUAGCCUUGACAUUGAUAGAACACCCUAGAGAUAGAGUGGUGCCCUUCGGGGAACUUGAAAACAGGUGCUGCACGGCUGUCGUCAGCUCGUGUCGUGAGAUGUUGGGUUAAGUCCCGCAACGAGCGCAACCCUCGUCCUUAGUUGCCAGCAGGUUAAGCUGGGCACUCUAAGGAGACUGCCUUCGCAAGGAGGAGGAAAGUGAGGACGACGUCAAGUCAUCAUGGCCCUUAUGGCUAGGGCUACACACGUGCUACAAUGGGGCGUACAGAGAGUUGCGAUACCGCGAGGUGGAGCCAAUCUCAUAAAGCGUCUCUCAGUUCGGAUUGAAGUCUGCAACUCGACUUCAUGAAGCUGGAAUCACUAGUAAUCGUAGAUCAGCUAUGCUACGGUGAAUACGUUCCCGGGUCUUGUACUCACCGCCCGUCACACCAUGGGAGUUGAUUUCACCCGAAGCGGGGAA
rnacentral:rRNA from 1 species